rnacentral:tRNA from 2 species
AAGAGAAAGGGUAUGGGCAUGGCAUGGUGCCGUGUUCGCCGUGUGGCGGAAGCCACACGGUAGGUUUUUCUGCUCCUGCACGGCAGUCUCUCCCCUUCCCUUUUGAAAAGGGGCUUGUAGCUCAGUUGGUUAGAGCACUUCUCUGAUAAGGAAGGGGUCAUUAGUUCAACUCUAAUCAAGCCCACUAUUAUUCUUUAUGUCCCUUUGUUUUGUUUAUGGGGUAAGGAGUAGGUGGUAGGUGAUUUUUGAGAGUAUUAGGGUGGGGUGUGAAGUUGAGAAGGGAUGGAUAAUAU